UCCUCGAUAGCUCAAUGGCAGAGCAUGCGGCUGUUAACCGCAGGGUUGCAGGUUCGAGUCCUGCUCGGGGAG